GAUGAACGCUGGCGGCGUGCCUAAUACAUGCAAGUCGAGCGAACGGACGAGAAGCUUGCUUCUCUGAUGUUAGCGGCGGACGGGUGAGUAACACGUGGAUAACCUACCUAUAAGACUGGGAUAACUUCGGGAAACCGGAGCUAAUACCGGAUAAUAGUUUGAACCGCAUGGUUCAAAAGUGAAAGACGGUCUUGCUGUCACUUAGAGAUGGAUCCGCGCUGCAUUAGCUAGUUGGUAAGGUAACGGCUUACCAAGGCAACGAUGCAUAGCCGACCUGAGAGGGUGAUCGGCCACACUGGAACUGAGACACGGUCCAGACUCCUACGGGAGGCAGCAGUAGGGAAUCUUCCGCAAUGGGCGAAAGCCUGACGGAGCAACGCCGCGUGAGUGAUGAAGGUCUUCGGAUCGUAAAGCUCUGUUAGUAGGGAAGAACAUAUGUGUAAGUAACUGUGCACAUCUUGACGGUACCUACUCAGAAAGCCCCGGCUAACUACGUG
rnacentral:rRNA from 1 species